rnacentral:rRNA from 1 species
GAUGAACGCUGGCGGCGUGCCUAAUACAUGCAAGUCGAGCGAACGGACGAGAAGCUUGCUUCUCUGAUGUUAGCGGCGGACGGGUGAGUAACACGUGGAUAACCUACCUAUAAGACUGGGAUAACUUCGGGAAACCGUAGCUAAUACCGGAUAAUAUUUUGAACCGCAUGGUUCAAAAGUGAAAGACGGUCUUGCUGUCACUUAUAGAUGGAUCCGCGCUGCAUUAGCUAGUUGGUAAGGUAACGGCUUACCAAGGCAACGAUGCAUAGCCGACCUGAGAGGGUGAGCGGACACACUGGAACUGAGACACGGUCAAGACUCCUACGGGAGGCAGCAGUAGGGAAUCUUGCGCAAUGGGCGAAAGCGUGACGGAGGAAGGCCGCGUGAGUGAUGAAGGUCUUCGGAUCGUAAAACUCUGUUAUUAGGGAAGAAAAUAUGUGUAAGUAACUGUGCACAUCUUGACGGUACCGAAUCAGAAAGCCACGGCUAACUACGUG